UACGGAGGGAGCUAGCGUUGUUCGGAAUUACUGGGCGUAAAGCGCACGUAGGCGGCUUUGUAAGUUAGAGGUGAAAGCCCGGGGCUCAACCCCGGAAUUGCCUUUAAGACUGCAUCGCUUGAAUCCGGGAGAGGUGAGUGGAAUUCCGAGUGUAGAGGUGAAAUUCGUAGAUAUUCGGAAGAACACCAGUGGCGAAGGCGGCUCACUGGCCCGAUACUGACGCUGGAGGUGCGAAAGCGUGGGGAGCAAACAGG
rnacentral:rRNA from 1 species